rnacentral:rRNA from 1 species
GACGAACCGUGCGAACGUUAUCCGGAGUUACUGGGCGUAAAGGGCGUGUAGGCGGUUAGUUAAGGCUGGCGUGAAAGCUCUCGGCUAAACCGGGAGAGGUCGUUGGAUACUGGCUGACUAGAGGACGGUAGAGGCGUGUGGAAUUCCGGGUGUAGUGGUGAAAUGCGUAGAGAUCCGGAGGAACACCAGUGGCGAAGGCGACACGCUGGGCCGUACCUGACGCUAAAGCGCGACAGCAUGGGGAGCAAACGGG